rnacentral:rRNA from 1 species
CACGUAGGGGACGAGCGUUGUCCGGAUUCAUUGGGCGUAAAGCGCACGUAGGCGGGUCGUUAAGUCAGGGGUGAAAUCCCGGAGCUCAACUCCGGAACUGCCUUUGAUACUGGCGAUCUAGAGGUCGAGAGAGGUGAGUGGAAUUCCGAGUGUAGAGGUGAAAUUCGUAGAUAUUCGCAAGAACACCAGUGGCGAAGGCGGCCGACUGGUCCGGUUCUGACGCUGAGGCGCGAAAGCGUGGGGAGCAAACAGG